rnacentral:ncRNA from 1 species
AUCCCUCGAGGUGGUAAAUUUCGUUGCAACCACGCACCUUCGCGGUCAAAAAGAGAUGCAGGAGAGGCGACGCCUGCCGAGGGAU